GUUGAAUGCAUACCGGCUUUUAUUGUGAGAAGUAGGGCUUAAAGGAUUCACGUCUAGGCUGUGUUAUCCAGGUUUAGAAGAGAUAUCUUUCCAGAACGUGGACAAUCCAGAGCGCACGAGCGCACGGCAGAAUGGAGAACGGCCCACCUGAUCGGACGGUGACCUGCCGCACUCCGGUUCCCGCCGGCAGCUGUCCCCCUUCCUCCCACUUGUGGCACAGCCGGGAUAAAAAGUCGAACGCCGUCAAGUCGGAAUCUUCAUCGUACUCCUCGCUACUGCUGGGCUUGUAAAUACCUGCAUUGUUUUAAAAAGAUAAAUAAACAACUGUUUGGCAAACAAGUAAUAAUAAAUAUAAUAAACAAUAAACAAGCUGCUCGUGUUCAGAUUUUACUUUAAAGUGGCUUCCUGGUACGUAUUUUCCUUUGCUGUCAGGUAGCAUUAAUGUGCUGCCAAACUUAUUUUAUAGCGAGUUGCACUUCACAUAUUCUCUCUCUCUUAGCAUUCCAGUUAAAACUAUAAUCCUGCAUUGCCAUGGUAUCCAACGGGCCAGAUUAAAGAUUUUUCACUGUACCAUGUUCUGCUUAAAUUAUAACCCUCUUAUCACUUGCUGUCACGUUGAGUACGAGAUCGUCUGCUCGAACCACUUGCGGAUCCAGAAGGAGGGGGAAGGGCAUAGCAGCACGAACCUGAAUUUGUAUACUGCUAUGUUUUUUGUAAGGGAUGUGCUGUGAUUGGCCGGAGAGGUGGUGCACCUGCUACACCAGGGACUUAAUUGCGAACUAUCUUUUUAAUAUUCAUCCUUCGGUACCUGCGAACAGUUGACAUAUUGGUUUUUCGAGUCUGUGAAGAGGUUAUGUGUGAAAAUUUGUAUACUCUACAUGUACUGGCUUUCAUGGUCAGAAGAUCGCCACCAUGUAAUUUGUCAAUUUUCUUCAAGUAUUAAUAAAAAUAUGUUAAUU